rnacentral:rRNA from 1 species
GACGAACGCUGGCGGCGUGCCUAAUACAUGCAAGUCGAGCGAUGAUUAAAGAUAGCUUGCUAUUUUUAUGAAGAGCGGCGAACGGGUGAGUAACGCGUGGGAAAUCUGCCGAGUAGCGGGGGACAACGUUUGGAAACGAACGCUAAUACCGCAUAACAAUGAGAAUCGCAUGAUUCUUAUUUGAAAGAAGCAAUUGCUUCACUACUUGAUGAUCCCGCGUUGUAUUAGCUAGUUGGUAGUGGAAAGGACUACCAAGGCGAUGAUACAUAGCCGACCUGGGAGGGUGAUCGGGCACACUGGGACUGGGACACGGCCCAGACCUCUACGGGAGGCAGCCGUAGAGAAUCUUCGGAAAUGGGGGCAACCCUGACCGAGCAACGCCGCGUGAGUGAAGAAGGUUUUCGGAUCGUAAAACUCUGUUGUUAGAGAAGAACGUUAAGUAGAGUGGAAAAUUACUUAAGUGACGGUAUCUAACCAGAAAGGGACGGCUAACUACGUGCCAGCCGCCGCCGUAA